AUUGAACGCUGGCGGCAUGCCUUACACAUGCAAGUCGAACGGUAACAGGUUAAGCUGACGAGUGGCGAACGGGUGAGUAAUGUAUCGGAACGUGCCCAGUCGUGGGGGAUAACUACUCGAUAGAGUGGCUAAUACCGCAUACGACCUGAGGGUGAAAGCGGGGGACCGUAAGGCCUCGCGCGAUUGGAGCGGCCGGUAUCAGAUUAGCUAGUUGGUGGGGUAAAAGCCCACCAAGGCGACGCUCUAUAGCUGGUCUGAGAGGACGACCAGCCACACAGGGACUGAGAAACGGCCCAGACUCCUACGGGAGGCAGCAGUGGGGAAUUUUGGACAAUGGACGCAAGUCUGAUCCAGCAAUGCCGCGUGCAGGAUGAAGGCCUUCGGGUUGUAAACUGCUUUUGUACGGAACGAAAAGCCCUGGGUUAAUACCCUGGGGUCAUGACGGUACCGUAAGAAUAAGCACCGGCUAACUACGUGCCAGCAGCCGCCGUAAGAC
rnacentral:rRNA from 1 species